rnacentral:rRNA from 1 species
UGGGGAAUAUUGCACAAUGGGCGCAAGCCUGAUGCAGCAACGCCGCGUGAGGGAUGACGGCCUUCGGGUUGUAAACCUCUUUUAGCAGGGAAGAAGCGAAAGUGACGGUACCUGCAGAAAAAGCGCCGGCUAACUACGUGCCAGCAGCCGCGGUAAUACGUAGGGCGCAAGCGUUAUCCGGAAUUAUUGGGCGUAAAGAGCUCGUAGGCGGUUUGUCGCGUCUGCUGUGAAAUCCCGAGGCUCAACCUCGGGUCUGCAGUGGGUACGGGCAGACUAGAGUGCGGUAGGGGAGAUUGGAAUUCCUGGUGUAGCGGUGGAAUGCGCAGAUAUCAGGGGGAACACCGAUGGCGAAGGCAGAUCUCUGGGCCGUAACUGACGCUGAGGAGCGAAAAGGGUGGGGAGCAAAACAGGCUUAGAUACCCUGGUAGUCCACCCCGUAAACGUUGGGAACUAGUUGUGGGUCCAUUCCACGGAUUCCGUGACGCAGCUAACGCAUUAAGUUCCCCGCCUGGGGGAGUACGGCCGCAAGGCUAAAACU